rnacentral:other from 1 species
AGUAAGCUUCCGGCCUUGGUAUUCAUAAAUGCCGGAGAACCGAUGCUAAUUUUUUAGGGGCCGUGAUUCUUUCCGUGGUGUGCAAGCCUCCCUUAAUUGUUGGAGGAAGCCUAAAGCGGUCGUGAUGGCACCCACCUUAUUGCAGGUGGGUUCCCCGAGCAGUGUGUAUUUUUUAGCUGGAAGCUUACCU